CAUUCAGAUUGUCCCUGCUCCCUCAGUCACCUCUGCGCGCUGAGCCCGACCAGCUCGGACCUGUGCCCAGUAAAUUUGAUUUCCGGAGUCAGUCAUCUUGGCGUCUUCUUCGACAGUUCCCAAAGGGUCUGGAAUCCACCAGAAACCGAAGCCGGGGAGAGCGUGCUUGCCUUGGUCACUGCGCGGAGCAGCCACCCGCUUGGGAGCGCGGCAUUCACACACCAGUUGGAGACUAGGCUUGGGAAGUUUUCCACGUAGAUGGUGCCUCUCUCGUGGAUGGACGGGGAGAAAUAACAUCUGCAGAUUGCUGCCAGACACCCUGAGAACACAAGCCCACCUGGUCUUUGGUCCCCUUGCUGAAUGGCAUUCGCUGCGGUAGCCCACUGAGGGCUACUUUCCUGCGGAUUCAGGGUUUGGGCA
rnacentral:lncRNA from 1 species